rnacentral:rRNA from 1 species
GGCUCAGGAUGAACGCUGGCGGCGUGCUUAACACAUGCAAGUCGAACGAGAAUCGAUGGAAAGAGGAUUCGUCCAAUUGAAGUUGAGGAAAGUGGCGGACGGGUGAGUAACGCGUGAGUAACCUGCCUUGGAGUGGGGAAUAACACAGAGAAAUUUGUGCUAAUACCGCAUAAUGCAUUUGUAUCGCAUGGUACUGAAUGCCAAAGAUUUAUCGCUCUGAGAUGGACUCGCGUCUGAUUAGCUAGUUGGCGGGGUAACGGCCCACCAAGGCGACGAUCAGUAGCCGGACUGAGAGGUUGGCCGGCCACAUUGGGACUGAGACACGGCCCAGACUCCUACGGGAGGCAGCAGUGGGGAAUAUUGGGCAAUGGGCGCAAGCCUGACCCAGCAACGCCGCGUGAAGGAAGAAGGCUUUCGGGUUGUAAACUUCUUUUGUCAGGGACGAAUAAAUGACGGUACCUGACGAAUAAGCCACGGCUAACUACGUG